CAGUCGCCGCGGUAAUACGGAGGGAGCUAGCGUUGUUCGGAAUUACUGGGCGUAAAGCGCGCGUAGGCGGUUACUCAAGUCAGAGGUGAAAGCCCGGGGCUCAACCCCGGAACUGCCUUUGAAACUAGGUGACUAGAAUCUUGGAGAGGUCAGUGGAAUUCCGAGUGUAGAGGUGAAAUUCGUAGAUAUUCGGAAGAACACCAGUGGCGAAGGCGACUGACUGGACAAGUAUUGACGCUGAGGUGCGAAAGCGUGGGGAGCAAACAGGAUUAGAUACCCCCGUAGUCCCUGUCUCUUAUAA
rnacentral:rRNA from 1 species